rnacentral:piRNA from 1 species
CUAACUCAAAAAUUAGGAUGCAAGAGA